GCACAGCACAGGCUCUAUUUACUCUUUCCGGCUGAUUAGGCUUGCAUCAUCUAUACUAAUCAAGUUCGCGGCUUCUGUUCAGAUAAGGGCCGCAACAAAUAUACAUCUCGGUGUUUCAACAUCCAUUUUUGCUAGUUUUCCAUGCACCCAUAACGAUUACAGGCCACAGCCAGUACAUUGGUUAGUGUUAAUGCAUCCAUACCAGUUAGAGGUCUGCAGCUUUGUCUCCUGAUUAAGGUUGCAGCAGAUAUACUGAUUAUGGUCGCACUGUGUACUCAUUAUGGGCGCAGCUUGUGCACUGAUUAGGUGCCAAAGCAUCUAUAAGUAUAAUGAUUAUUAACUUGUUUACCUAUUAGAUCACAAGUAUAAUGAUUAACCUGUGUACUGAUUAGUAUCACAAGUAUACCGAUUAGGGUUCAGCACCAAUUUUGAUUAGUGGCCGAUGCAACCCAUUAAUCUAGUUUUUGGUACUGUUUUUGCCCUGCUACACAUGCAAAUUUCCCUACCUCGUGAGUGAUUGGAUUGGUUUGAGUCAGGGCAAUGAGUAUGAGCCUGCUCCAGGUAAGGUGUACCGGCACUCCUAUUAUCACAAUGGCGUUUGCUGGUCUCAUGGGAACUUCGUGGCUCGCGUAAGAAGCGCACUGGUUAGUUGUCAUUCCUUCCUGCCGCGAGGACUCUCUUUUUCUUUGAGCUUGCUGGUACAAAGGAUUUCAAUGGCAUCGUCACAUGCACCCACUUAGAUGAACCAGUUACUGAAUCUCACAGUGUAUUGGGUUUCCGUCUUGGGUUCUCUACUCGUCGUAGUGGCAAAUUCGAUUCCUUUUGCAAGACGUGCUCCGGGCGCUUUGAUGUUCCACAUCCAGCAUGUGAACAUCAGCAUGUGGAGAAAGUCUGUGGAAUGUGCUAUCUUCGCUCCGAUGUGCUGCAUCCGCGCCCUGGAGAAUUCGCGUUUGGCUAUCACAGUCCCUACUAAGCACUGAUGAUGUCAUCGAUCACUGUGGAUGUGAAAACUGGCUUCUUAGCUUGCUACUUAA